rnacentral:rRNA from 1 species
AUUGAACGCUGGCGGCAGGCUUAACACAUGCAAGUCGAGCGAGCGGCGGACGGGUGAGUAAUGUCUGGGAAACUGCCUGAUGGAGGGGGAUAACUACUGGAAACGGUAGCUAAUACCGCAUACCAUCAGAUGUGCCCAUAUGGGGUUAGCUAGUAGGUGGGGUAAUGGCUCACGUAGGCGACGAUCCCUAGCUGGUCUGAGGGGAUGACCAGCCACACUGGAACUGAGCAACGGUCCGGACUCCUACGGGAGGCAGCAGUGGGAAUUAUUGCACAAUGGGCGCAAGCCUGAUGCGGCCAUGCCGCGUGUGUUGAGAAGACCUUCGGGUUGUAAGGCACUUUCAGCGAGAAGGCGUUACUCGCAGAAGAAGCACCGGCUAACUCCGUGCCAGCAGCCGCGGUAAUUC